rnacentral:rRNA from 1 species
CCUACGGGCGGCAGCAGUGAGGAAUAUUGGUCAAUGGACGAGAGUCUGAACCAGCCAAGUAGCGUGAAGGAUGACUGCCCUAUGGGUUGUAAACUUCUUUUAUAUGGGAAUAAAACGUUCCACGUGUGGGAUUUUGUAUGUACCAUAUGAAUAAGGAUCGGCUAACUCCGUGCCAGCAGCCGCGGUAAUACGGAGGAUCCGAGCGUUAUCCGGAUUUAUUGGGUUUAAAGGGAGCGUAGGUGGUUUGUUAAGUCAGUUGUGAAAGUUUGCGGCUCAACCGUAAAAUUGCAGUUGAAACUGGCAGUCUUGAGUACAGUAGAGGUGGGCGGAAUACGUGGUGUAGCGGUGAAAUGCUUAGAUAUCACGAAGAACUCCGAUUGCGAAGGCAGUUCACUGGACUGCAACUGACACUGAGGCACGAAAGUGUGGGUAUCAAACAGGAUUAGAUACCCCUGUAGUC